GGAAAUAUUCGGUACGUUUUCUUCAAACUUCAGCCGACAAAGACUGCACACAAGCCGGAGCGCGGUUGGGCGCGGGGAAGCAUGGAAUAGACAGAAGUGAACGGUUAAGAGAACCCCUGCUUCCUUGUCUAGUUUAAAGACGCAGUAAUCAGCAGCUCGGUCGGGUCAGAAAUCUUCAAGCAAGACUCGUGUGGACGGAUAAGGACCGCAAGAUGUCCAUUCCGACAACGAAAGGGAAGUUUGGACUGGAGGUGGCUAGUUUUUUUUUUUUUUUGGUGGGCUCAAUCUCAGGGCUGUUAGACGGUGCCUGACGUCCCAGCGACUCACACAGCGGGACUAAAAAUGAAUUAUCUGGUGAGUGAAUGAGAUGAGUGUGUCUGUUAUAUGUGUGUAAGUCCUACACUCAGUGCUGUGUGACUGGUCUAAGUUGGCUGUACGAAGUAGUCCAGCUGUGAGGACAGGGAGUUAGAGUGAAACGUCUCAGAAAAAGGAACUCCAAAUUCUUUCAUUUUACCUCCCUUUGUCACAACUCAGUAGGGGUCUGAUUGUGUGUUUUGUGUGUAUUCUGCGUCUGUUUGAGGAUUUGGGAACGACCAUAUAUGUCCUGACACAUCCUGGUUUAAAUCACUUGUAUAUAAAACUAAAAAAAAACACCUGUUAUUAAAGAAUAACCUCACAGAAGUGAAUAAACAUGCAGAAGUACCUCUGUUCAGUCCUUUUACAGCCCAGAAAGCUGUGUGUUAUUGUUUUUGUAGCAGUCUUUUCUUCAGGAGGAAUAAGAUGACGUGCUUGCGAGAACGCGUUUUCAGCAGAAUGUGCUCUACAUAUAGGAAAGAACUGGAGCAACAGAGGCACGGCACUGCCACUGGUGUUCUCAGACUGCUGACUCAGGAGAAAGUUGAAAGAUUAAGGUUGUAUUAUGGAUGUCAAGCGCAUAGGGAGAAAAAGAAAGAGAUCAAGAAAUGGAUUGCACAGACCAGGCCUGAGCCUUGGCAAGCAGUGUCCGUUCCUUGCUAUUGUUUGAAAGUGCUGGCACGCACUCAGCUUGUAAGGGCAGGAAUGACACAAGGCUUUGGUAUUUGGAAAGCAGACCUAGAUCCAUUGAAGGAGGACUUUGCUCCCUACGUGCCUGGGCCGACCCCCUGCAUGGCAUAUGGAUAUUUCUCAUUCGGCAGAAAGCUUUUUACUCGUGCACUUUCGCAGCAAAGUUGACCACAUUUUAAGAGUGUUUAAAGAUGUUCUUCACAGUGGAGUGCUAAAAUUAGCUAUAUCCAAGGAAACAGUUUCCGGUUUAAAAUUAUGACUGAGUCUUUUUGUUCUUUCCAUUAGUAACAGCAAGUCAAGUCAUGAUAAAGAAGGAGUUUAGCACGGCUCUCACAACCCUAACUGGUUAAAAUCCCCCUCAGCUGAUGGAACUUGGCUCACCAGGCUGAUCCUGAAUCAGCAUCUAAAUAAAGAGUGAUGUACCAUGGUGGGCAUGAGUGUAAGACUCUAGGAAUGGAGAAAAAAAAGAGAGAGAGAGAGGCACUUCUAACCUCCCGCAGCGGCGUGAUUUCUCCCAGUGAGUCAGCCUUGACUCAUGCCCAACCCUCUGGGGCUCAAGAGGGUAGAAUUCCCCACCUCCACCAACUCCUCGGGGGUCUGACAGUCCAGGCCUGAUCAUUGUAUGUCAUUAGUAAUUGGUGCUAGCAGAAGAACUUCUUCAAUGCUUAGCUGAAAACAGUUGAUCUACAUUGGGCAGGUCUAAAAUACAUAGUAGAUGUCCUUGACUCAUAUUGAAGUGUGUUUGGUGACUCAUAGAAAGAAAGGUUGGCCAUUUCCCAUUGUUCUAGUUGUAAUUUAACUAGAUAAUUUUGCUUUGAUCUUUGACUAAGGCUUGUGCAAUAACUCAUUUUCAUGUGUAAAAUGUCUCAGAUAAAGAUAGAUACUGGCACUUGCUCAAUCUUCCACACCAUUGUUAACCUGGGCAAGUUUUACAAUCAAAAUGUGUUAGUAGUUAGUGUUGCUUAAAAAAAUAUUUGUUUUUGAGUUGGGAUUUACUACGAGGAAUAACUUCUAAAAACAUAACACAACACAGUUGUGUAGAUGAUAGGCCUAUGAGGUUGCGUAGUUAGCACACUGAAGUUGUGUAUUUAUAAUACUAAAGUUUAAGGUCAUAAAACACGAGACUUUUCUUUAUCUCUGUCUUUCAGUUUACAUCCAUUUAUGUCAGUCCCAGUCUCUGUUUGUCUGUUUUCCGUCCCUUUCUCUCAGAGAUAUAGCACUCCUAUCGCAAACCUAAAAGAUGUAAAAGAUAUGCGCCUAGGGCCUUAUCUUUUUGUGUGAAUAUGCAUUAGCUCUAGGGCUUUCUCAUUUGUAUGGGAUUGUUCUCUAACGUUAGCAUGACUUGAUAUUUAGAGAGAAACAAACACAUGCCUCAUAUUGUUGUUUACCUGAUAGCCUGAAGCUAAUCCACUGUAAUGAAGCAAUCUAGUUGUAAUAGAACAUAAGUAGACAACAGCAGCUCAGCUUAGGAAGGAUCUUAACUACAGUACACACUGUUAGUGGUGUAAUAUGAAAGCCGAACGAACAAAUUACAAAAGCUUAGACAAUUGCUUUUUGUUAUUUGAUUCAGAAGUGUUUAUCCCGGUUUUGUACCUUCUGAUCCACUGAAAUGCUGGACUGAGGUCACAGUGACUUGCUGAACUAGAGUGGAACUGCUGUAAUCUCAGGACAGACAUGUUUGGAUUCAUCAUCAGGAACCGGCAAAAUUCUCGGCAUGUUUAUGCCAUGAUGAAUGUCUCUGACUCACGGCUAAGGAGGAGACACAACAGUGUUAACACAACAAUGUGUUUUGUCCUUGUUGUUUCUGUAUGGUCCUCCAGUGUCCUAAACCUACACUAAAGCAGAAAUCCAGCCUGAAUGACAUGCAUAUUCAUUCACUACAAGUACCAGUCCAUUUCAGGGCAUGAUGCACACGCAGUCAAGUACAUUUAGGGGCGGUUUAACAGCCAGUCAUGUGAACUUGACAUUUGAUCUUCAGUGGCAUCCAACAUUAACUGUUUAUCUCUUUAGUAGUUUAGUUUACUUAUUUUAUUGACACAUUUGCUUUUUCUCACUGUUUAGUUAACAGGUUCCUAAAUAACCCACAACUACCCGUUGAUAGUGGCGCCAGUGCAGUUUAGCCGUUGCUCUGUCCAGCUCUCUUACCUCCUUAUUUAUACACCCUGUUCAAACAGAUACAGUUCAAUAGCUUCAACUUUCAUGCUAAUACCAUCGUAAACUUCAUCAUGCUUAUCAUCUCAUACAUUUGCUCACUAGCCGAUCCGUAUCUGCGGCGUAAUUCAGUACGACUGCGUCAUAUAACUGCUUUGCAUUCUGGAACUUGCGUCCCCAGAGUUUGGUCCACUACUCCAAUACUAUGUUGGAUUUCCCAUUAAUAUGACAUUGAACAUCGCUGUAAAAUGUUGAGUGAGAAAAGAAACUCAUUCUCCUAUGCCUAAUGAUUGCUGCACAGUGUGAAACAAUUCAGCAAACUCAAUGACAUCAGCACUGCAGACAAUUGCUAUCUUCUCAUGGGAAUAACAAAACGUACAGCACCAAGCAACAAAUUAGCACCACAAUCACUAAACACCUCACACAUAAUUCCAAUAUAAACAUUUCAUAAACGUCUUUCAGGGUGGCUCUUUUCUUUAACAAUGACUUUAUUUGAUUUUUCUAGAAUUUUAAAUGUCUGGCAACUAUGGUCUCAAAAAUUAUUUAUAAGACCGUCACUUUGUGCCAGUCUAUGAAGUUUAAAAGGAGAGUGAAAAAAAGUUAUUUCAUGUGGGUACUGGCAAAUCUAGUGGUGUCCCUUUGAUCUAAACUGCAAUGUGUUUUAAAGGCUUACAGCGA
ensembl:lncRNA